rnacentral:rRNA from 1 species
AUUGAACGCUGGCGGCAGGCCUAACACAUGCAAGUCGAACGGUAACAGGAAGCAGCUUGCUGCUUUGCUGACGAGUGGCGGACGGGUGAGUAAUGUCUGGGAAACUGCCUGAUGGAGGGGGAUAACUACUGGAAACGGUAGCUAAUACCGCAUAACGUCGCAAGACCAAAGAGGGGGACCUUCGGGCCUCUUGCCAUCGGAUGUGCCCAGAUGGGAUUAGCUAGUAGGUGGGGUAACGGCUGACCUAGGCGACGAUCCCUAGCUGGUCUGAGAGGAUGACCAGCCACACUGGAACUGAGACACGGUCCAGACUCCUACGGGAGGCAGCAGUGGGGAAUAUUGCACAAUGGGCGCAAGCCUGAUGCAGCCAUGCCGCGUGUAUGAAGAAGGCCUUCGGGUUGUAAAGUACUUUCAGCGGGGAGGAAGGGAGUAAAGUUAAUACCUUUGCUCAUUGACGUUACCCGCAGAAGAAGCACCGGCUAACUCCGU